AUUGAACGCUGGCGGCAGGCUUAACACAUGCAAGUCGAGCGGGGACUUCGGUCCUAGCGGCGAACGGGUGAGGAAUGCUUGGGAAUCUGCCCAGUAGUGGGGGAUAACGUUUCGAAAGGAACGCUAAUACCGCAUACGUCCUACGGGAGAAAGGGGGGGAUCUUCGGACCUCUCGCUAUUGGAUGAGCCCAAGUCGGAUUAGCUAGUUGGUGAGGUAAAGGCUCACCAAGGCGACGAUCCGUAGCUGGUCUGAGAGGAUGAUCAGCCACACUGGAACUGAGACACGGUCCAGACUCCUACGGGAGGCAGCAGUGGGGAAUAUUGGACAAUGGGCGAAAGCCUGAUCCAGCCAUGCCGCGUGUGUGAAGAAGGCCUUCGGGUUGUAAAGCACUUUAAGCGAGGAGGAAUGGUUCUUGGUUAAUAACCUUGAGCAGUGACGUUACUCGCAGAAUAAGCACCGGCUAACUCUGUGCCAGCCGCCGCCGUAACAC
rnacentral:rRNA from 1 species